UACGGGGGGGGCAAGCGUUGUUCGGAAUUACUGGGCGUAAAGGCUCGUAGGCGGCCAACUAAGUCCGACGUGAAAUCCCCAGGCUUAACCUGGGAACUGCGUCGGAUACUGGAUGGCUUGAAUUCGGGAGAGGGAUGCAGAAUUCCAGGUGUAGCGGUGAAAUGCGUAGAUAUCUGGAGGAAUACCGGUGGCGAAGGCGGCAUCCUGGACCGACAUUGACGCUGAUGAGCGAAAGCUAGGGGAGCAAACGGG
rnacentral:rRNA from 1 species